GAUGAAGAACGUAGCGAAAUGCGAUACGUAAUGUGAAUUGCAAAUUCAGUGAAUCAUCGAGUCUUUGAACGCACAUUGCGCCCCCUGGUAUUCCGGGGGGCAUGCCUGUCCGAGCGUCAUUGCUGCCCUCAAGCACGGCUUGUGUGUUGGGCCCCGUCCUCCGAUCCCGGGGGACGGGCCCGAAAGGCAGCGGCGGCACCGCGUCCGGUCCUCGAGCGUAUGGGGCUUUGUCACCCGCUCUGUAGGCCCGGCCGGCGCUUGCCGAUCAACCCAAAUUUUUUAUCCAGGUUGACCUCGGAUCAGGCAGGGAUACCCGCUGAACUUAAGCAUAUCAAUAAGCGGAGGA
rnacentral:misc_RNA from 1 species